ACAGUCCUGUGGUCAUAGCGAAUCUUUCUAAAGCUCUGAUCAGUCAAGAAGGGGGUUGUAUCAAUCCUCAGAACCCUGAGUGGAACUUUCUACAGGAUUUAUUAGGAGAAAAACCUUCCCGGAAGCUGCAGAAGGACAAAUACAGAAUCCGUGUCUGGGAGAAACCUCGUGGCCUGGUCUCCAUUAUUUGAGAUGAGUUACAUCUUGGAGGCCUGAUCUUUUGGCCAGAAGGAGAUUAAAAAGAUGCCCCUCAAGAUGGCUGUGCCUGUCAGCUGCAUGGAGCUUCGUUCAAGUAUUUUCUGAGCCUGAUGGAUUUACAGUGAUCUUCAGUGGUCUGGGGAAUAACGCUGGUGGAACCAUGCACUGGAAUGACACACGCCCGGCACAUUUCAGGAUACUAAAAGUGGUUUUAAGGGAGGCUGUGGCUGAAUGCCUCAUGGAUUCUUACAGCUUGGAUGUCCAUGGGGGACGAAGGACUGCAGCUGGCUGAGAGGGUUGAGAUCUCUGUUUACUUAGAUCUCUGCCAACUUCCUUUGGGUCUCCCUAUGGAAUGUAAGACCCCGACUCUUCCUGGUGAAGCAUCUGAUGCACGUUCCAUCCGGCGCUCAGCUGGGCUUGAGCUGACCAUACUCCCUGGAGCCUUCUCCCGAGGUGCGCGGGUGACCUUGGCACAUACAGCCAUCAUGAUGGUACUUUAAGUGGAGGCUGAAUCAUCUCCCCUUUGAGCUGCUUGGCACGUGGCUCCCUUGGUGUUCCCCUUUUACUGCCAGGACACUGAGAUUUGGAGAGAAUCCUGUUACACCUGGGAUUUAGGCACUUUCAAUCUGAAAAAAUACAUAUCCUUUCAGCACUCUGGACGGACUUGAGAACUGUCCUUACGUGACCUAAAGCUGGAGUAUUUUGAGAUUGGAGAAUUAAGGACAGAAUAACGGGCUCCCAGAUUCACAAGCCCCACCAAGAGGAUCACCCCAGGAACGCUUGGAGGCUGAGGAGUUCACUGAGGCUACUGCAUCUUGAGACUCAGGAUGAAGACCCAGCUUGGGGCUGUCAAAGGUUUUUUGCAUGUCUGACACCCAUGACUCCACCUGGACCUUAUGGCUCCACCCAGAAGCAAUUCAGCCCAACAGGAGGACAGCUUCAACCCAUUACGAUUUCAUCUCUGCCCCAACCACUCAGCAGCAAGCACCUGUUACCUGUCCACCCCCACCCCUUCCCCCAAACUGCCUUUGAAAAAUCCCUAACCUAUGAGCUUUGAAUAAGAUGAGUACGAACUUCAUCGCCCACGUGGCGUGGCCGGCCUCGUGUCUAUUAAAUUCUUUUUCUACUACAA
rnacentral:lncRNA from 1 species